rnacentral:rRNA from 1 species
UACAGAGGGUGCGAGCGUUAAUCGGAAUUACUGGGCGUAAAGCGUGCGUAGACGGUAGCGUAAGUCAGAUGUGAAAUCCCCGGGCUUAACCUGGGAACUGCAUUGGUGACUGGCGAGCUAGAGUGUGGCAGAGGGGGUAGAAUUCCACGUGUAGCAGUGAAAUGCGUAGAGAUGUGGAGGAAUACCGAUGGCGAAGGCAGCCCCUGGGCUAACACUGACGCUCAUGUACGAAAGCGUGGGGAGCAAACAGG